GUCAGAAAGCUGAGUAUCAUGAACCACUUCCUCCAGCGCAUCCUUCAUCUUCAGCCCUGGCAGUUUAGUUCGCUCAGGAACUAAACCCUGCCAAGUGCUUUUACUCUGUCUUCUCAGCUGCUACUUAAUUGAGUCCAUCUCCUUUUCUAGCUUGAAUGUUGUGCCUGGCUCACUCACCUGGACACUUUGUUCUCCACACAUGGCUGUGGAGUGAUGUUUGAAAACUACAAAUAUAUUGAUUCCUUAUCUAAUACCUGUAACUGUCUUUCGAUUUCCUUCUGGAUAAGGUUGAAAUUCUUUAGCAAAGCAUCCUAUAUAAUCUGAUACUUGCUUUCUAUUUAACCUUGAAUAUUAUCUGCCUUAAUAUUAAUAUUAAUGGUCUUAUAUUAUUAACUUAAUUCUCACCACCUUUCUGUGGUGGACAUCCUAUUAUUAUCUCUAUUUAGAUAAGAAAGGGGUGGCUAAGAAACUUGCCUAUGGUCAUCCUUUUCUCUGGCAAAGCCAGCUAUUUUGAAUUUGUGAAUGGUUUAUCCUCUGUGUGUUUAAAUGUACGAUUUUCUUUCCUAGGACUGCUUCAACUCUCUAUAUCUCACUGGGAAACAUCUAGUCACCAUUCAAAACUAGUUUCAACUACCUCCUCCCCUGGGAAGCAUUUUCCAAUACACCCAGGCAGAAAUGAUCCCUCCCUACCCUGAACCACAGUGGCAGCAUAGGAUCGUGCUUACAACCAUAGACUUGGACAUCACAUUGAUUUGAAACUAAUUCAGCUCUACCAGGUGAAAACUGAGACCUCAGAAGAUUUAUUUAGUCUGUCUAAGCCUCAGUUUUCUCAUUUGUGACACUAUGAUAAGAAUACCGAUUUCAUGUUUCUCGGCAGGAUUAAAUGGGGCUACGUAUGUAACAAUGCACAUACCACAAUGCUUGGCACUAGUAAGCAAUGUGUGAAUUCUGGCCGAAUAUUGUAGUCAUUAACAUAGUGGAUCUUAGAAUACAGUUGUCACGGUAAAUCUGUGCCUUUAUCGAAUUUACUUAAUCAUAACCCAGAAAGCAAAUUUCCCUAGGCUCUAAGUGACCUGAUAUCCUCUGUAUUUGCCAGAACACUUCUAUGGAUAUACUAUAAAUCAUUUAAUUGACCAAGCUUCUGUUUUUGCUUUGGCUGUGAAAGGUUUUAGAAGCAAAUGAUCUUCCCACCUAACUACAUACGGGACCUGGAGUACACAUUGUCCUUAUGUUUAUCUUAUGAGUUCACUUCACUCUCUUUUACCACAACCUCCUUAACCGUUCGCCUUACUGUUUGGUAUGUAUUUCUAUAAACAGGCUCAAAUCUUUUGUGCGUUGUGAUGGAGUGCUAGUAAUUUUUGGAGGGUAUAACAAGAGACGGCUGAGCUCGGCAACCUAAAAGCCUUUGUUGACUGACUGAUGUUUGAAUGCCUGAUCUGUCAAAUCACAAUAAUGGAAAGAAAAUAACGCCAAUUCCUUAAUAAUGGAUAUGAUAAUUUGUACUAUUUUAUAUGGAUAAAAUUCUUUGAUUUAUUGAAAUAAGAAUAGCAGCUGAAAGGAGCUGAGGUAUGUUUUAUCUAAUAAAUAUGCAGCAUGAAAAUGCUCUGAACCAUUAAGACCCAUGUAGAAACUUUAUUUAAGGCCACAUACUUGUGUUCUCAAAUCUUUAGGAAUCAUGAAAUGAAAUGUGGCUACCUUUUAUGUAAUCAGUUUCUGAACGAAAACUUAAGAGAAAAAAGAGUCUUGUAAAUAUUUUAAAAACUAUCUGAAAACCUAGACCAAUGAGUGAGUGACUAAGAACUACUUCAAAUUACCAUGUAAGUUAAAUGUAGCCUGCGAGGUGCAUUGCCAGGAUUAGGUUUUAAAAAGCUCUUUCAAUCUUCAAACUUCAAUAAGGAUCUUAAGGAAGCCCAGUUUUCUUGCUAAUAGUGAGCCAGCAAAAAAGAGUCAGAUGUUUGUUACUAUCCUGUCAUUGGGAUUUUCCUUUAAAUCAACCACUCGGCAGUGCAGAUCUCUGGGGAAACACUUUUUUUUUUUUUUAUGAUGUCAGUUUCUGAAUUCAAGUGUGAUACUGUCAUAGAGUCUCACACAAUUUUGAAGUGACCCUAAUUCCAUGGAAAGAACUCCCAAAACUGGGCCUUGACUCUUAAAAAGAAGAAAAAUAUACAAGUGGGUGAUAUUAAUCUCAGAAAAUACUUUGUCUUUUCAGUGAUUUAAUUCCUCAAACCAUGAGAAAGCUGUUGAUUGCAAUCAAUUUACAUAGAAAUUUGUCAGACUAUGCCAACAUUGUGACUGCCGCUUCAAAAAAUGUAACUGCCUGUAGUAAACAGCCCUGAAUCUCCUGUGAAUGCAGAGGCAGUCCAUAAAUGCUAUGGGGUUCUUUUAACUUUAAUGCUUUAAUAUACACAUCCCUCAUGCAAAAUUCUUUCACUGUAAUAACAUGAUAUCUUAUAAAAAAGUAACAGGUUUGUGCAUACAGGAGACAUAUUUGACCCUGUGUGUUUUAAAAGAUGAUUGUGACUUAAGGUUUGCAACAGUGGAAAUGGUUUUCUAGACAGGAGAAAUCAGUGAGGUGGGUUGCCUUGACAACAUGGGUUAGUUGCAUCAAGAAAUCCAUGGCAAUACAGGACCUAAUCUUCUGUUAUGUCAAGAUUGCAAACAAUCUACCAAAUUAGGUUAAAAGAAAACGAAUCCCACAACAAGGCAGUGUUAUCUGACCUAUGAAAUAUUAGUUCUUACUUUUUAUCAUGAACCUUGUUAGAAAAGAUGAAAAAAUCUAGGUGGGCAAGACAGUCAGGAAAGCAGGAGUAAAGUGGGUUUCACUCAAAAUUCUGCUGUCCUCUCCUCUAAAGCGCUUCAUCCCCAGAAGGAUUCCAGGAGUUCUGGCAUAUUCUCCGAAAGUCGAUCCUGCUAAGAAAAAUCUUACCUUGAUUCUGUUGAUUUCCCCAGCAGUCUCCACAAAGCUUCUCUCUGGGGAUUAUCACUUGCUCCUAUUGCAUAUUCUUAAAUAAUGAGCAUAAAUAAGGAUUACCACAACAAAGCUAGUUAUUAGUUAAAUAGAAAACAAAACCUGUUAACAUAUGUGCCCUGUAGUCCAAUUAUCCCGGCGGGGCUGAGGAAAGAUUUAUCUAUAAAGUAUUAAGCCUCAAAGACAAAGCCUGUUAUUGAAAACCUACAUUAUUGAACAUGCUUGUUUCCUUCCCCCAGCAAGCACCCCUUUGUGGCACUGUUCAAAGUUCACAAUUUUGAUACUCUGCUUCUAAAAAUCACCAUAAAGCAAUUUUGAAUGAGAGCUUAGAUUUUUCUUUUAUAGAGGAUUCUUUUAAGGUAAUCAGAGCAAUGCUUUUCUUUGGCUUAAACUGCAGUAUCAGUUUCAUUUUCAACACUGUCGCAUGCUGCUACCCAUCGGAUAUUAUCAGAGGUGGUCCCCAGUGCAGGAGACAUACUGUGUGUCCGGGCUGCCCUUUGGUUUUGUCUUUCCUGGCUUGAAGAUUGUGGAAGUGAAUUGGGACUGGAGGGACACCUAUUAGGAGCAAAGGAACUGCCUCUGUAACAACAAAGUUGAGAAGCACUAGGGCAAAGUCCCAUGAGUUCAGACAGUAUGAAUCUGCACACGAUGAUGGCUCCAACCUGUGCAGGGCCAAGGUAACCUAACAGACUGUGGUGUUGACUAUGAAAGCUAAGAACGAAGAGAGUUUGUUCCAACUGGCAUUUAUUUUCUUUCUCCUGGGUGACAGAAUGCCUAAUAGAUGGACCCACCAUCUACAAUAAAGGCCAGUGUUACUCAUCAGGUUUUAUGUCUGGGGGAAGCACAAACCAUCACUCUAAGCCUAUGAAUAGUUUAAAGGGUACCAGUGGAUGAAUGAAAGCCUUGUUUGCUAGAAGUAUCUUUAGAAGUGACAAGUGAACACACAUAGCAUCAACAAUGGUUCACUGACUAUAUACUAGGCAGAAAAAUAUGCUUAUUUUGGAAAUUUGCCAAAGAAAUAAUCAUGGACAGCUUCUGAUUCAGUCCUAAGUAUUAGAAUUUCUCAUUAAAUCAAUAUAAGAAUGCAGAAAAUCCACACAAGUAUAAAGCCAUAAUUUGUGCUUUACUACAUUCUUUUACUUUAUAAGUUAAUAGGUUCACCAACAUACCUUGCAUGCAAACACUCUUAGGGACCACAUGAACCAGGAAUUUAAGAAAACAGAACCCAUCUUGAUGGGUACAGCAAACCACCAUGGCACAUGUAUACGCAUGUAACAAAGCUGUAUUUUCUGCACGUGUAUCCCAGAACUUAAAGUAUAAUAACAAAAAAUUCUAGCUACAGCAUAUUCAGUGAAGAAUAAAAUCUCUUCCACAAAUAAAUAAUAGGGAAGUAAGAAAUGAAGUGUGGCAGAGUAAUUCUAUAUAAAGAAAAGAACCCAUCUUUAUGCCAAUGACAUCUAGCACCUGAGGCUUUCUUUUUGAUAUUUUCAGAAUGAUUGAAAAAUGUGUGAGUAAUCAUUCUCUCCCUGAGUCAAUGCUACACAAAACACGGUCCUGCACUGGCAUCACUGGGAACAUGGUAGAAAUGCAGAAUCUUGUGCCCCACCUUAUGCCUACUGAACCAAGUUGAUAUGGUUUACCUGUGUCCUCACCCAAAUCUCAUCUUGAAUUGUAGGUCCCAUAAUUCCCACGUGUUUUGGGAGGGACCCAUUGGGAGUUAAUGGAAUCAUGGGGGUGGGUAUUUCCUGUGCUAUUCUCAUGAUAGUAAGUCUCAUGAGAUCUAAUGGUUUUAUAAAGGGGAGUUUCCUUGCACAAGUUCUCUUGUCUGCCGCCAUGUGAGAUGUGCCUUUGACCUUACACAAUGAUUGUGAGACCUCCCCAGUCACGUAGGACUGUGAGUCCAUUAAACCUCUUUCUUUUGUAAAUUGCCCAGUCUCAGGUAUGUCUUUAUCAGCAGCAUGUAAACAGACUAAUACACAAGACUUGAUUCUUUUUUUUUAUUUUUUGAGAUGUAUGCCAUGUACCUAGAGGAAAAGUAUCAUUUUAACAACCACAUAGAAUUUCACUGUAUGACAAUCUCUUGCUCUAUUCCUCUGCACCCUUCGUUCCUAUUAUCUCAAGAUAAUCACUUUCAAAUACAUUAAAUAAUGCUCCUGAUAUUUACCUCCAUCUCUUUAUAUAAUGGUCUUCUAUUGCUAUUGACGGCUCAUUAAUAUUACAGUUUAUCUAUUGAUCUCAUUAUUGUUGAAGACUUAAUGCUUAGCCAUACCAUUUCUCACUCGCAUUUCCCAUAACGUCCCAAUAUAAGUGUAUGGCUACAUUGGAUAUGUCAAUAUAAGAAAUUAUAACUAUAUAAAAUGGCAUUCAUUAAAUAAACUAACUAUUACUGUAGAGCAAUGCUUUUGAAAGUGUCAUCUGGUGACCCUGAGACCCUUUCAAGGGAUCCAUGCAGUCAAAACUAAUAAUAAUUCUUUGUUUUUUAUUUUAAUCAAAUUUGGUUAAAUUUGGUUGGAGUGUUUCAUUGAAAUCAACUUAAGCUGGGAUCUUAGUUUCUACUAUUUCUCCAAAGUCACUUGAUAAGUGCCUUUGAUUCAGAAAUUUGGAUGAGGAGACACUCUAGGGAAGACUGAAGAUGUAGGCUAUGUGGAAACCAGGAGAUUAUUUUUCUUACAGAAAUAAAUUCCUGAGCUUAGUCUUUUUCAAAAGACUCGAGCCUAUUAAAGGUGUCUGGAAAUACCUUUAUGACAAUGAAAUAUCUUUAUGACAAUAAGUCUUUGGAGCACACAUCUUCUUCAGGAGCUGAGAGGCUGAAGUCAUACUGAAGAUCAGUGCCAGCCAGCCCUUUUUGGCCAGUGUAUCUUGGGAAAGGAAUAUUUAUCUAGGCUGCUGGGAUCAUCUUCUACAUUUAAGGCAUACAGUUGCACAAAUUGGUCUGUGGCUGUCACAGGGAGCAGUGGUCCAAGGAGGACCAGAGGCUCCUAAACAUAUCUGUUGGGCCUGAGGCUAAGAAUCACACAAUGAACUCCAAACAGAAGCCGCAGUUGUUCAAGGUUGCUCAGUGCCAGAAAACUAAGGUGAAUCAGGUGCAUCAGGCAUCUAAAUUCCAGGACUCAAAAGACAGUGUCUGUAGCAGUUGGGGCCAAGUAGGUUUCUCCUCCUUCACUGAAAUGGUAUGCUUUGGUGUUCCUGGUGUCAGCCACUGCUGAGUUUUUCACUUCUGCUUCUUUCAUUUCACGGUUCUUGAACCAAAUAGUUAUCACUGGAUCAUCAAGGUGGAGGGUUGAUGCUGCAUAGCAAUCUGUGUACACGGUCUUUUGGAACACAAAUUUCAACACUCUAAGCUGUUCCAGGGUAAAAACUGGAUGGCUUCAAUGUGCACAGCUUGGUUUUGCUGACAUGAGAUUGUUUGGGAAUGCUAUAGUUCAAUCAACUGGGUCACGAUAGCCACACUGUAAUGUCUCUGUCUACUCUGUGUCCUUUUAGUUUUUUAUAUUUUUGAAUUCUAAAUAAGGUUAUAUUUUGAAGUGGGAGGGGGGAUUAAACAGCUUUGAAAACUAGUUGUAAUCUCAAAGACACUUUGAACAAAAAUUCUAGAACCAUAAAAAUGCUAAAAAGCUGAAAUUAACUUACAGUGUAAACAUACUAAUAGUUAAUAUUUAUUCUCAUCAUAUUCCAGAUAUGAUGCUAAGUUGUUUACAUGCAUUAUCUUAUUCAGCUGUCCUAUGAACCAUCUAAGGGGGUACAUAUUCUUAUUAUCCCCAUUUAUGCAUGAGAAAAUAGAGGCAUGGAGAAAUGAAAUAGCUUAUCCAAGGUUAUAAAGCUACAGUGACUGCUUUUAAGAACCAAACCCUAGCCGCUGACUCUAGCUAGAGCUCAAGAUCUUAAUCAUUACACUGGUCAAAUGCAGUAGAUUAAAAUUAUAGGCUAUUGGAUUACUUUGUAAGAGAAGUCUUUAAGGUAAAUAUUUCAAUGCAUCUGUACAAUGAUUUAUUACUCUGUCAGGUACUCUUAUGCAAAUGAAUGCCUGGAACAAUUGGUACAACUCUUUAGAAAGUAAGCAUAAGAUAAAUAUUGUUCAAAUAUGUCAGACAAGGCUACUUGUUUUUAUUAACUUUUUAAAAUGAACUCCUGAAGAGGUUUUGGUAUAACUGUUUUUCUGUCUUAAUAGUGCUUACUUUAUUAAUUUGCUCAGCAAGUUCUUUAUAGAUAAUCUAGAUUGUAAACUUAAGCCAGCAUAACCCUUAUCUGGAUGGCCAUACAUUCUGAAUGACUGAUAUGCAAAUUAAUCAAUGCAUUGAACCCCCACAAUCAUCUAGUGCCUGAGAAAUAGUGAGAAAUAGUCAGCUCUUUAAAAAUGUGCAUGCUACCCUCUUGUUGGCCUUCAAGUGGAUUCAGUGCUAAAUACUGAUUUGGUAAGAACAAAACAAUGAAUCUGCUACAGUGUUGAUGAUGGAGGGAUGGGAGAGACAAUAAUAUCAUUAUUUUCUAGGACUCUACAAAGUACUUUUACUGACAUCAUUUUAUUCAACAGAACCCCCAAAAGUUGAAAAACUGGGUAUUAUUGCCAACCUUCUACCUCCUUUCCCUUUCUUGAAAUAAAACUAUCUUAGGUCACUGGACGCACCCAAAGCCACCAAACAACUACAUGGUGGGGAGGGUGAAUCCAGUUCUUCCACACACUAAAUCUAGAUUCUUUCCACUGUAUUUUACUGCAUCCCAUUAGGAAAAUAUUUGCAGAGUUAUACGAACAUUUCUACCUCACAGAGAUUGUACAUUCUUGGCCUGGGGACUGAAUCUAGCCUUCAGACCUCUUUUGUUUUGCCUGAAGAGUUUUUGAAUUUGCAUCGGUUACUAUUAUUUUAAAAAUGGUAAGAGAUUAAAUCUGGGAUUUUCACUUCAUUUGCAAAAUAGUUUUGGCAACAAUCAACUAGAACUUAGUAGGGACAUCCCCCUUGAGAGUAGGCACAUCUAUUUCAGAAUGCCACAGACCUCACCACUCCUUACCAUAUCCCUCAGUACCGUUAUCUGCUAUUUUUCAUCAUAAAACCAGAUCUCUUCAUUCAUUUUUAUUACCUAUCUGGUUUCUGAUAUAAAGUAAAUUGUCUGUGGACUAAGCAGAUCUCUACAGAUACUGUUAGUAAUUUUCCUCAUCCAACUUGGACAGGGUAAUCUUUAUGCAUCUUUCUAGCCCUGGUUCCCUACAGUCAACAACUUUUUAUCUUAAUUUUCUUCAUUAAAUUGUUCCCCUAAUGGAACAGAGAGGCAGCUUUGAAAUUGAAGAUUUCUUCAGCUAAAAAUUCUCACAAAUUUCCCUUGAGUCAUACUUUAAUAGUUGGAAUUGGCCCUGUCUGGAAUUACUAGAAUUAUUCCCCAUACCAUUUUCAAGUCUGUUUCAAAUUAUUUUGACUAACUCAUUUUCCAACUCCCUCCCUCCAUCUCUGUCCUGCCAGAAUGUAAAUUCUCUGAGGUCAGAAGAUUCUGGUCUUGUCCACUACUAAAAUCUUAGGCCAGGUACAAUGACUGGCCACACGGCAGGUGCUCAGUAAAUAUUUGUUUACUGAAUGAAGAUAAAAAUGAUGAAUCCUAAGUGGAUGUCACUGGAGCCCUCUCAGUGUGGUCUUUCAGACCUAGCUGCCUGUUGUGUGGUCUUCUAUAUGAACAGAGUCCUUUCUUCUCAGCAAUCUUGUAGGAAAUAAUUCAUUUCCUAGAAGCAGAAAAGGAUCUAGCUCCAAAAUUUGUUAACUUUGUUUAUUGAUAAAAAUACUCCUUCAAAAUAUCAGUUUUUGUAUUGAACUAACAUUUACAGAAAACCUAGCUUUUAAGAAAAUAGAGUUAUCUUUCUUAGGUUAACUAAACUGAUUUGCUCAGACUUUAAACCUACACUGGGUUUUUUGUUUGUUUGUUUUUUUACUGUGUGAAGUGGAAAAUGGCUUUCAGCCCAUCCAGCCUCUUUUCUUAGGGUCAAAAGUCUUUCAUGUAUGCCUCAGGGCUGCAGAAGAGCUUUGCUGUCACUUGCUUUUGCUUUAUUUUAGCCUUCACUCACUUGCCAACAGCUUAUAAGGAAAAAAGAAAGUGUAGCGAAGGUACUUACAUCUGGCUUCCAGUCACUUUUCAGGAUGCCUCCUAAAUGCUAACUGCCCUCAAACAUUUUCGUUUUCUCUCUUCUCUUUUCUUCAAUUUUAAUCCUACUUUUCAAAUUUAAAAAAUAUAGAGUCCUUCUUGCUUUUCUCACCACGGUUUGCUUUGAAGGGUAAUGAGAAAGAUUUAGACGCAGGCUGUUUCUUUAUCACUUAGGUCUUGGACUCCCCCUCUUAUUCAGCAUCCUAUCCUGCACCACUUAAGCUACUGCAGAUAUGAAGGAUUUUCUUUAUCUCUUUUAAAAAUUCUUCUGAACAUUUAAAAUGCAUUUGAAUGUUAGGUCUCUUUCUUUCUUCCAUUUUUAAAAAAAUAAAUGGAUUCUUCACUUGCUUUUCACAAAAUCACAGGAUUUUUUUUAAAUUUUAUUAUUAUUAUACUUUAAGUUUUAGGGUACAUGUGCACAAUGUGCAGGUUUGUUACAUAUGUAUACAUGUGCCAUGUUGGUGUGCUGCACCCAUUAACUCGUCAUUUAGCAUUAGGUAUAUCUCCUAAUGCUGUCCCUCCCCCCACCCCCCACCCCACAUCAGUCCCUGGAGUGUGACGUUCCCUUUCCUGUGUCCAUGCAAAAUCACAGGAUUUUAAGUUGGAAGAAACUUUAAAGAUAUCCUACCAGUCUCCUUGUUUUACAGAUGAAGAAACUGAGACAAGACUCAAAGCGGUUAAGUACAGAACCAGAAUUAAAACCCAACCUUCUGGACUCCUAGUCAGAAGUACUCUUUCCUUUAGUGUUGAAAUUAUUAUUUUUUUAUUAAGCUAUGCUCCUUAUACUUUAGUUAAAAGAUGAUUUAAAAAUACUUAUCAUUCCCUAAGUGUAGGGCUCUUUGUGCCAUGGGAAGGGAGUACAAAGUCUUCGGGAGGGAAUUCCUUAUAGUAGAAGCAAUGUUGUUUUCUAGGUAAACCUGUUUUUACUUUGUUUCAUGUUUCCAUGUGGAGGGACCUCUGUCAGAAUAACAAAGCUAGCCCAUCACUCACUUCUUCACCAUGAAGAAUGAGGAAAAAAUACUGGGUAUGCAUUGCUCAGCAUCUGUCUACCUCCUGCCCUACUUUUCCCACAUAUUUUAUAAUCUCUUAUGCUAUGUAUUUCACAGUUCUCCUCUAUCUGCAGCUGUCUAGUUUGAAAUAAAUACUCAUAUGAAAGAUAACAACAUUGGAAUAAUUAGGCUAUGAGUGGUGUGUUCAUGUGAGAAACAACAGAAGAGAAGCCACAUGAUGGUGCCAUUCAGAGAAAAAUAGGAGGUCAGAAGGAUGCUGACCUGGGAGAGAUUCUCUUUUGGCAUGAAAUCUUUCAGCUAUCUGUCUUAUUUUAAUGUUGAUAAUCUCACACUUGCAUGCUGAUGCAGGUACAAAGGAGCUAGGCACCAUCAGUCCAGACAGAUUGUAUCAAAGUAUUUCUUAUUUCUCACAUACUUAUCAAUCCAAUAGGAAUUUGGUUCAAUCUAAAAUAUUAUCUUCAAAAAAGCCAUGUUGAUUUCCACCACCUUACAUUUCAAAAAAAUUACACCAAGAAUUUAGAGAAAAUUUCUUCCUAUAUUUCAUGUUAAGACUUGAGAAAUUAGAAAUGUUACUUAUUUUGCUACACUGAUUUUGUAUCCUGACACUUUACUGAAGUUGUUUAUCAGUUUCAGGAGGCCUUUUGAGAGUCAUUAGAGUUUUCUAGGUCUAGAAUUAUUUUGUCAGCAAAGAGAGAUAGUUUGACUUCUUCCUUUCCUAUUUGGAUGCUUUAUAUUUCUUUAUCUUGCCUGAUUGCUGUGGCUAGCACUUCCAGUACUAUGUUGAAUAGGAGUGGUGAGAGUAAGCAUCCUUUUCUUCCUCCAGUUCUCAAACAGACUGCGUCCAGCUUUUGUCCAUUAAGUAUGAUGCUGACUGUGGGUUUGUAGGGCUCUUUAGAUGUAGAUGGCUCUUAUUAUUUUGAGAUAUGUCCUUUUUAAGACUAGUUUGUUGAGGGUUUUUACCAUGAAGGAAUGCUGGACUUCAUUGAAAGCUUUUUCUGCAUCUAUUGAGAUGAUCAUAUGGUUUUUGUUUUUAACUUUGUCUAUGUGGUGAAUCAAAUUUACUGAUUUGCGUUAUGUUGAACCAACCUUGCAUCCCAGGAAUGAAGUCUACUUGAUCAUAGUGAAUUAGGUUUUUGAUAUGCUGUUGCAUUUAGUUUGCUAAUUUUUUUGAGGAUUUUUUGCAUCUAUGUUCAUCAGGGAUGCUGGGCUGUAGUUUUCUCUUUUGUUGUGUCUUGGCCAGGGUUGUUAUCAGAGUGAUGCUGGCUUCAUAGAAUGAGUUAGAGAGGAGUCCCUCCUCGAUUUUUGGGGAUAUUUUCAGUAGAAUUGGGACCAGCUUUUCUUUGUAUAGCUGGUAUAAUUUGGCUGUAAAUCCAUCUGGUUUGGGGCUUUUAAAAUUUAUUUUUAUUUUUGUAUUACUGAUUCAAUUUCAGAACUUGAUAUUGAUCUGUUCAGGGUUUCCAUUUCUUUCUGAUUCAAUCUUUGGCGAUUGCGUGUUUCCAGAAAUUUAUCUUUUACCUCUAGAUUUUCUAGUUUGUGUGCACAGAGGUGUUCAUAAUAGUCUUUGGACAUCUUUUAUAUUUCUGGGAGAUCGGUUGUAAUGUCACCUUUGUUGUUUCUGAUUGUGCUUAUUUGGAUCUCCCUUUUCCCUUGUUAAUCUACUUAGUGGCCUAUUGAUCUUGUUUAUCUUUUCAAAGAACAAACUUUUGGUUGCAUUGAUUUUUUGUAUGCUUUUUUUGGUUCUUAAUUUCAUUUAGUUCUGCUCUGAUUUUAGUUAUUUUUUUCUUCUUCUAGCUUUAAGGUUAGUUUGUUCUUGUUUUUCUAGUUUCUGUAGGUGUGAUGUUAGAUUGUUAAUUUGAGAUCUUCCUAAUUUUUUGAUGUAGGUGUUUAGCACUAUAAACUUUCCUUUUAUCACUGCCUUUGCUGCAUCCCAGAGAUUAAGAUAUGUUGUGUCUCUGUUUUCAUUUAUUUCAAAGAACUUUUGAUUUCUGCCUUAAUAUAAUUGUUUACUCAAAAGUCAUUUAGGAUUAAGUUGUUUAAUUUCCAUGUAAUUGUUUGGUUUUGAGAAAUCUUCUUGAUACAGAUUUCUAUUUUUAUUUCACCAUGGUUCAAGAGUACGGUUCGUAUGAUUUAGAUUUUUUUUUAGUUUAUUGAGACUUCUGCUUUAUGGCUUAGCAUGUAGUUGAUGUUAGAGUAUGUUCUGUGUGCAUAUGAGAAGAAAUGUGUAUUCUGUGGUUGAUGGAUAGAGUGCUCUGUAGAUGUCUAUUUGGUCCAAUUGGUCAAGUGUCAAAUGUAAGUCCAGAAUUUGUUAAUUUUCUGCCUCAAUUAUCCGUCUAAUGUUGUCAGUGGGGUGUUGCCCACUGACAUAGCCACACACUAUUAUUGUGUGGCUAAGUCUUUUCUUAGAUCUGCAAGUACUUUUUUUAUGAAUCUGGGUGCUUCAAUGUUGGGAACAUAUAUAUUUAGGAUAGUUAAAUCUUGUUGUUGAAUUGAACUCUUUAUUAUUAUGUAAUAUCUUUCUUUGUCCAUUUUUACUGUUUUUUUUUAACUAUUGGUUUAAAGUCUGUUUUAUCUGAUAUAAAAAUAGUGACCCAUCAUCUUUUCUGUUUUCCAUUUGCAUGGUAGAUAAUUUUACAGCCAUUUAUUUUGAGCUUAUGUAUGUCGUUACAUGUGAGAUGGGUCCCUUGAAGAAAGCAGACAAAUGAGUGUGUUUUCUUUUUUCCUUUUUUUUUAAAUACAACUUGCCUUUUAAGUGGGGCAUUUAGGCCAUUUACAUUCAAGGUUAAUGUUGAUUUGUGAGGUUUUGAUCCUAUCAUGAGAUGGUUAGCUGGUUGCUUUGUAGUUUCUAUUGUGUGGUUGCUUUAUAGGGUCUGUUUUAUAGGGCUGCUUUGUAGGACUAUGUACUUAGGUGUGGCUUUGUGGUAUCAGGUAUUGUUCUUUUGUUUCUAUGUUUAGAACUCCCUUAAGGAUCACUUAUAAGACUGCUCUAGGCCAGGUGCAGUGGCUCAUGCUUGUAAUCCCAGCACUUUGGGAGCCCGAGGCGGGCGGAUCAUGAGGUCAGGAGAUCGAGACCACGGUGAAACCCCGUCUCUACUAAAAAUACAAAAAAUUAGCCAGGCGUGGUGGCGGGCGCCUGUAGUCCCAGCUACUCGGAGAGGCUGAGGCAGGAGAAUGGCGUGAACCUGGAAGGUGGAGCUUGCAGUGAGCCGAGAUCGCGCCACUGCACUCCAGCCUGGGCGAUAGAGCAAGACUUCGUCUCAAAAAAAAAAAAAAAAAAAAAAAGACUGCUCUAGUGGUAACAAAUUCCCUUAAUGCUUGCUUGUUUGGAAAAUAUUUUAUUUGUCCUUUGCUUGCGAAGUUUAGUUUGGUGGGAUAUAAACUUCUUGACUGAAAUUUCUUUUCUUUAAGAAUGCUGAAAAUGGGACUCUGAUAUCCCCUGGCAUGGGGAUUCCUUCUGAGAAGUCCACUGUUAGCCUAAUGGAGUUAUCUUUUGUGUGUAAUCUGACCUUUUUCUCUAGCUGCCUUUAAGAUUUUUAAUUUUGUGUUGACUUUGGACAGUCUGGUCACUACAUCCCUUGGUGAUAUUCAUUUUGUAUAGUAUCAUGCAGGUGUUCUCUGAAUUUCUUGUAUCUGGAUGUCUACCCCUCUAGCAAGAUUAGGGGAAUUUUCUUGAAUUAUUUCCUAAAUUAUGUUUUCUAGGUUGUUUACAUCCCUCCUUCUCUCUCAGGAAUGCCACUAAUUUGUAGGUUUGGUUGCUUUACAUAAUUUUAUAUUUCAUGAACACUUCGUUCAUUUUUACACAUUUUUUUCUUUAUUUUUGUCUAAUUAGGUGAGUUCAAAAGACCAGUAUUCAAGCUCUGAAAUUCUUUCUUCUGCUUGGUUAUUAAUAUAGCUUUCAAUUGCAUUUUGAACUUCUUUAAAUUAAGAAAAACAUCCCCACAGCUGAGAGAGAAAUAUAUUUAACUUAAUAAAAAUUUAAAUAUGAAAUUAAUUUAAAAAUCAUAAGAUGAUGCUUUGGGGAAAUCUUUAGUUGUAAGUGUGUGUGUGUGUGUGUGUGUGUGUGUGUAUGCUUCUGACUUCUGCACACUCUAACUUGAUGUUUUUUAUGCUUUCCAUAUAGAUCAUUGGAAUAUUGACUCCAUCAUUUGAAACACAGUUUAUGUUUCAAAAACCAGAAUAAAAGAAGCUCCAUUUUGUGUAUUCUUAGUUCUUGUGUAUUCUUAGUUCUUGUUAACAUAAAGAAUGGAUUUUCUCAGGAGUGGAUCUGUAUCCUUUUACAGUUAAAUAUGAAUUGUCUUACAAAGACCAAGCACAUGAUGGUGUCCAGCUCUCUCUUUGAAUUGCCUGUACCAUUUCCUCUGCAGUUACAGAACAUUCUUUCAUCUUGUUCCAUCCUUCUGCGGUAGACUAUAUGCUCCCCGAGGGUAGGAUUCUAUUCUAUCUUGUUCACUACUGAACAUGACUGGUAUAUGGUAGAUCAUACAGUAAGUUGAGAGAAUUAAUAAACUGGGCAUGAUUGGAGGUCUGUCAGAACAAUCAUUCAGAACAUAGUUUGCUGGUGAUGUAAACUGAACUCUGACUAGAGGGAGAACUAUGUUUAUGGAUGGAUGCUUCCCAAAAGAAUAAGCUCUUUUGCUGCCCAGAGAAGAAUAUUUCUAUCUGAACAGGCUACUCUAUAAUACCAAUCUCAGGUGAAUUUCUUUGAAAUUUCAAAAGACUAAUUGACCUACUAGUAUUUUAUUUAAAGGCAAAAGAUAAAAUCCAUGUGAUAAAUCCCAAGUUCUAUUAGAAUAAAUCAGGAGACACUUGUAUUUUUCAUCUCAUAAUUAAUUAUUUGAUACAUGUUGGCAUUGUAAUCUAUUCACACUGGAAUAUUAUUUUAAUUGAGAUACCAAUUGUACUUCUAAGAGCAAGAAUUUUACUUCUAAGAGUUUAGGAAAUAAAAGAAAAACAAAACAAAGACAAAAAAUUAGUGAAAAAGAUUAACGAUCCAAUCAAGUUGAAAUAUUUUUCUUUUAAUAAUUUUUUGUUAUUUUGUAGUCUACUUAUUUUGUCUUUUCCCACAGAAACAGCUAAGUAGUGUACUGGACUCCUCCUUCUUAAUGAAUGAAGCAGUGAGAAAGUAAAGGGAAGGGCGUUUGACUGUAGACAGUACCACCACUGGACAAUGAGAAAUUUGUUAUGAAAAUCUUAUCUGGCUCAUUUGAAGAAUAUAAGUUUGAAAACAAAAUCAUUUCCCUAGACUGUUCUCAGUCACUUAGACUUCCCUUAGGCUUCAUAUAAUAAUAGAACGGAAAUGAAUAUGCAUCGUGAAUUGUAUGAAUUUUUUUUUUGCAAGCAUUAUAGGAAAGCUUUGAGCUAUACUACGGCAGAAAUUUUCAUUGCUUUCAGUCUUAUAAAUUUGUGAAUAAAUGGAAUAGCAAAUCUACUCCACAGAAUUGGGUUCCUAUGAUAGGGAAAUAGCCUGAAGACAUCAAAACUUCAUUGCUGAGGGCUUUCUUAUCUGUAAUCCCAAGUACUAUAAGUAAGUAAAAUUGAGAAUUAAUUAAAAAGAAUGCCAAAGAGAACUCAAAGAGCCAUAGAAUGAUUUCAGAAUGUCCAUGCACACUAAAACUCUUGCCAAUGAUUGAAAGAACAGAAGUUCAUCCAGAAUUGUCUUUUGUAGAUCCUUAUUUAUUUGUUUAUUUAUUUAUUUAUUUAUUUGAGACAGAGUCUUGCUCUGUUGCCCAGGCUGCAGUGCAAUGGCGUGAUCUUGGCUCACUGCAACCUCCACCUCCCAGGUUCAACUGAUUUUCCUGCCUCAGCCUCCCGAGUAGCUGGGAUUACAGGCACUCACCACCACACCCAGGUAAUUUUUUGUAUUUUUAGUAGAGAUGGGGUUUCACCAUGUUGGCCAGGCUGGUCUUGAUCUCCUGACCUCGUGAUCUGCCUGCCUCGGCCUCACAAAGUGCUGGGAUUACAGGUGUGAGCCACCGCACCUGGCCCUGUAGACCCAUUUUUAUAAGCCGUAACUCUUUUGGUGGAGAUGUUGUUUAAAGCAGAAAAGGAGUAGCUACAUUACAUUAAAUGUUGAAUAAGGACUAUUGGAGAAACAGAAAUGACAGCUGAUGCUCUGAGAACAGAGAACAAAGAGAAACAACAAACCCAGAUAGAAAGGCUUUUAAAACAUCGCAGGAUGUAGAAAGCAGAAUGAAGAUAAACAGCCUUAUAUGUAUUUCAAGAUAUAGAAGUUGUUAAUGUUUUCAGCCUGAAAAAUAAUUGGUGUGCAUAUAAUGAUAUACUUGAGGUAUCAGGAAAAUAUAUUAGGUAAAAUAUUAUUGUUUAAGAAAGAAGACUUCAGAAGAAUAUUUUUGUUUUAGAAUGAUUUGUUUAAAAAGAUUUCCAUCAGGAAUAAUUUAAGUAAGAAUUAAAGUUUUGAUGUUUAAAGAGAGAAUGUCUCAGCUAUUUGGCGGUAGAGUGGCACAGUGCAAUGAGCACAUGCUUUAGAAUCAGGGAGCUUUGAGUUGUGUGAUAUUGAGUGAGUUUGAUAUGAUAUUUUAAUGGGAUUGUAAUGAAAAUUGAAUUAGUUAAAUGAUAUAUGCUAAAUAUUUGGCCCAUAGAAGGAAUUCAGUAUGUGGUGGUCAUAUCAGUGAAAUAGCAAAUUCCCCUUAAUGGUAAGAAAAUUAUGCAUUUUGAAUUUAUUUUUGUCAUUAGGCAACAUCAUUCAAAGGGUGCAGGAAGAUUCUAGCUAGGAAUCUGGCCUUAUGCCUUUUCCUGUUCAAUUUUAAGGCUAUUAAUGAAAGACAUCCGGAUCAUCAAAUAAUCAAUAACAAAUUUGGGGCAGUUAACCUGCUAUGGUAACUUGCACCAGCACUUGGCUCUUUUGAAAGAUGAAUGCUACAUCAAAUUAAGGCAAGGAAGGAAUUAACAGUGUUUGUUAAAGACAGUUCUUCAUUUUUAAAAAUAGGCAUGUCAACUACAGCACUGUAAAUAAUUAUAGUGGAAAAGUAGAAAUACCAAGAUGACUACUCUUUUUUAUUUGACACAGUUAAUUCACACAGAACUUAUAUUUUAUGAACUUUACAAUUUUCACUAUUUUUGAUCUACAAAAAUGGUUAGUGCAUAUGGCUCAACAUAAGCAUUACUAAAGCAAAGGUAAUUUAUUCAUUACCUUAUUUUAUUUGUACAAAUGAGACAAGGGACAAAAAGAUGCAUGGAGUUACAUAUCUUGUAUUGUACAUUUGUCAAAUAGUUUCUAUAUGGAAAAUUACAGAAAAAAUAUAUUAGGGGAGAUAGAUAGGUGUCAGUAGUAUUUGCUAUCCUCAUAAACUUGGUUUCAUAUUUAACAAUUGGUUUCUCCCAGUCAGGAGUAACUCAAAUCUGAACUCCAUGCAAUUCUUCAGCUUCAGAAUAGGAAAUUAGUUUAUGCUUCCUAGUUGAUCUUGAAUGCAUUUCCAAUUGCACUGAGUAGUCACUAUGCUUUUUUUAUGUGUGACAUUUUGACUUUUCUGGGUCCUCAGAAUUGUUUCUGACCCUGGAUAACUUAGCAGAUUAAUGAGGCUUUUACUGAGUGUUACAAAGGUAGCUGGACUACUGACUUAAAGAUGACGAAAAUUGCUUUUCCUUGAAUAAGCACUUGAUUUUAUUUUCACUUUAAAGAUUGUCUUCUGGAAACAUUAAGAUACCUUGAUGAAUUUACUAACUAGAUUUUGGUGGAGUAAGAGUUGCAAUUAAUGACAUAACAUUUUGCUGAUAUCUUUAGAAACUAACCAUUAAGCCCCAAGGUUUGUCUAUGAAGAUUUGCACCUUUCUAUGCAGAACUGUACCUUUCUACUUUAAGAAUCCUAUUUAAUAAAUGGUGCUGGGAAAACUGGCUAGCCAUAUGUAGAAAGCUGAAACUGGAUCCCUUCCUUACACCUUAUACAAAAAUUAAUUCAAGAUGGAUCAAAGACUUACAUGUUAGACCUAAAACCAUAAAAACCCUAGAAGAAAACCUAGGCAAUACCAUUCAGGACAUAGGCAUGGGCAAGGACUUCAUGUCUAAAACACCAAAAGCAAUGGCAACAAAAGCCAAAAUUGACAAAUGGGAUCUAAUUAAACUAAAGAGCUUCUGCACAGCAAAAGAAACUACCAUCAGAGUGAACAGGCAACCUACAGAAUGGGAGAAAAUUUUUGCAACCUACUCAUCUGACAAAGGGCUAAUAUCCAGAAUCUACAAUGAACUCAAACAAAUUUACAAGAAAAAAACAAACAACCCCAUCAAAAAGUGGGCAAAUGAUUUGAACAGACACUUCUCAAAAGAAGACAUUUAUGCAGCCAAAAAACACAUGAAAAAAUGCUCAUCAUCACUGGCCAUCAGAGAAAUGCAAAUCAAAACCACAAUGAGAUACCAUCUCACACCAGUUAGAAUGGCAAUCAUAAAAAAAGUCAGGAAACAACAGGUGCUGGAGAGGAUGUGGAGAAAUAGGAACACUUUUACACUGUUGGUGGGACUGUAAACUAGUUCAACCAUUGUGGAAGUCAGUGUGGCGAUUCCUCAGGGAUCUAGAACUAGAAAUACCAUUUGACCCAGCCAUCCCAUUACUGGGUAUAUACCCAAAGGACUAUAAAUCAUGCUGCUAUAAAGACACAUGCACAUGUAUGUUUACUGUGGCACUAUUCACAAUAGCAAAGACUUGGAACCAACCCAAAUGUCCAACAACGAUAGACAGACUGGAUUAAGAAAAUGUGGCACAUAUACACCAUGGAAUACUAUGCAGCCAUAAAAAAGGAUGAGUUCAUGUCCUUUGUAGGGACAUGGAUGAAACUGGAAACCAUCAUUCUCAGUAAACUAUCACAAGGACAAAAAACCAAACACCGCAUGUUCUCACUUAUAGGUGGGAAUUAUUGAACAAUGAGAACACAUGGACACAGGAAGGGGAACAUCACACUCUGGGAACUGUUGUGGGGUGGGGGGAGGGGGGAGGGACAGCAUUAGGAGAUAUACCUAAUGCUAAAUGACGAGUUAAUGGGUGCAGCACACCAACAUGGCACAUGGAUACAUAUGUAACAAACCUGCACAUUGUGCGCAUGUACCCUAAAACUUAAAGUAUAAUAAUAAAAAAAAAACAACAAUAACAACAAAAAACAAACAAAAAAGAAUCAUUUCAUCUAAACAGAAUCUCCUGCCUACAUUGGCUAAUGGCAGAAAUUCAACAUCAUUAGCUAAAUUAAUUGUUUCAUGUGGGUUGUUCUUUUUUUUUUUUUUUUUUUUUUUUUUGAGACGGAGUCUCAUUCUGUCGCCCAGGCUGGAGUGCAGUGGUGCAAUCUCGGCUCACUGCAAGCUCCGCCUCCCGGGUUCCCGCCAUUCUCCUGCCUCAGCCUCUCCGAGUAGCUGGGACUACAGGCGCCCGCCACCACGCCCGGCUAAUUUUUUUUUGUAUUUUUAGUAGAGACGGGGUUUCACCGUGGUCUCGAUCUCCUAACCUCAUGAUCCGCCCCCCUCGGCCUCCCAAAGUGCUGGGAUUACAAGCGUGAGCCACCGCGCCCAGCCUGGGGGUUGUUCUUUAGAAUGUUAUAAACUGUAAUAGAAUUACCACCUUGAAGGCAAUUAAUUGGAUGUACUUCAAAUAUAUUCUAACCAAAUGCUAUACCUAGCAUUCUCUAUAAAACUGUUUAAAAACUACCAAAAAAAAAAAAAAAAAACCUGUUGAUGAAUCUUAGUGCCAUCAAAAUAGCCCAACUAGAACAGUUUUAAAAUGCCUCAUAUCUGUAUAGUUUGUGUCACCUCAGAAUGUGAUGACUCAGGUUGAUGACUGAGAAGGUCAUCAUUAUGAUUACUGCCUCUUAAGUAUUAUUCCAGUGCCUCAUAUUUUUAAAGGAGAAAGUGAGACGUUGGAAUACUUUCUCUAGGUUUUUAAAGCCUAUGCAUCAUGGAGGGAGGAAUUGAAUGCAUGUUCCUCAUGUCUGGGACUCAUGUGUUAGAAAGCAAGUUGAAGAUUCAGAUCCCUACACGAGUGCCACAGAGGUACACAGAUGAUGGAGAUGGCACAAGGUCUCAGGAUCAGAAAGAGAGGGAAGGCUGAGAUCUGUGACGAAUUUGAAAGCAAGUCCCUUUUUAAAGUGGCUAGACACCACUUGGCUCCACUGGUUGUUGUCAUAUGGGAGUGUGGUUCCAGUAAAGCCAGAUACUGUGAUUUUUUCAAACAAAUUCACAUGUAUAGAAUUGCACAUGAAAUAAUUACAUGUUUAAAUGUUGGUAACUAAAAUUAUAAUUUUAAGCCCCAUGGCUCAAAUAAAACACAUCUGUGGGUGCUGGGGAAGCAACCCCGGAUCAGAUUCUAACAAACACCCCUAUACAUAUAUAAGUGCUAUUAAAAAUAAAGAGUGUUGAAAUGCUGUCCUUCAUCAAUGAUUAAUAUAUUGAUAUAUUAAUAAUAAAAGAAAAUUAUUCAAUUUAUUCAAAUUAAUCAAAGAAGAUAUUUUUUAGAAGAAACUAGGAUAUAAUCAACAGAUAGUAGGUACAUAGGUGCCCACUAGGUUGCUGUGACACAUACAUUAUCAUGAAUUUUUGUUUUUUGUUUUUCUUUUUGGAGACAAGGUGUGGCUCCAUCACUCAGGCUUGAGUGCAGUGGUGCAAUCAAAGCUCACCGGAGCCUUGAAAUCCUAGGCUCAAGGGAUCCUCCUUCCUCAGCCUCUUGAGUAGCUGAAACUACAGUUGUGUGCUACCAUGCCAGGUUAAUUUUUUUUUUUUUUUUAACUUUUUUGUAGAGACAGGAUUUCACUUUGUUGCCCAGGUUGGUCUCAAACUCCUGGGCUCAAGGGAUACUCCUGCCUCAGCCUCCCAAAGUGCGCCUGGUCCAUUAUCAUGAAUAUUUAAAAAGUUAGACAUAUUUGCUGCCUUUCUCUGAUUUAUAAGUGUGUUUGUCGAGGAAAAAAAUAAGAUUUCCUAAGAGAGUUGUAAAUUAUUGAGAAUGGAGUAUUAACAAAGGAUGAAAGUUGUAUUGACAGGGUAUACUAGAUACUACAAAAGCUGGUGGUGGAAUAAAAAGACUUUUCAAGUUGCUUCUUAGCAUCAUGUUUUUUAAUUAAACAAAAUGAGUAGUGGUGAUAGAUAUGGUAAAGAAGAGAAAAUUAGAAUAUGUUAUUAUCCUAGAUUGUGCCCUCAAAUUAAAAUACUGUAUUUGACAAAGUUGAAAUGAAAAUUUAAUGUAAAUUUAGCAUGAGAAAAAAAUGAAGAAAUAUAUAGAUUCCAUGAAAUAAUUUGUAGUUCCCUGAGGACUAAGAAGAAACAUUUAGAAAAUCGUGGAGUACAAUAUGCCAUUUAACUACUGCAGACAGUGCUCAGCAUCUGUCCAGCGGAUGAAGCAAAGGGCAAGGAAUCAGGGUCCAUUUCUAUUUCUGGCAUUGAUACCUCUGGGCCCUAGAAAAACAGUGUUACCCUGCAGCACUCAGGUCACCCCAUUGUUAAAAAAAAGACCACGCAUAUCCUAAAGGAAGUUUAUGCAUUAUUUUUGAUAGCUAUAAACCAUUUGCACAUUUUAAAAAUUGAGGCUACCACAAAGGCAAGGAAUGUGAUUCUCUCUCUCCACAAUUUACAGAAUUAAUGAAGAAUUGCAAUGGUUAGCCAGCAAUCAGAUAUGUGCUAGAAUAGUCCUGUUUGCAUUCCAACUCUGCUCAUUCUGGAACCCAUGUGUUUCUUUCCAGGCAAUGUUCUAUAACUUUUGCUUUGCAUUCAAUUUAAAUAAAAAAAGCAACUCUGGGAUGAUUCAUUAUUUAAACUGUGGUCUUCAUACUCUCUCUUGGAAACUGAGGCAGCCAUAUAUGUAAGGCUACAGUUAGGCAAAAAGAUAAAUAAGUUACAUGCUAAAAUCCAGAAGUCCAGCUAUCAAACAUGAAUUAUAUAAAGUACAUCAUUGUCCUUGUUUGUAUUGUUUACAAGCUGUUCUUCGGUGGCUUUGAGUGAGACACUAACUUUGUAUUUGACUCACAGUCUUACCAUUCUUCUUCAGAAAAAUAUAACAUAAAUGAGGAAUUUGAAGACAAACAAACAUUGUAGAUACAAAAUAUACUUACCUCUCUCUUACAGCCUGAUGCACAAUAUGGAAAAUAGUACUUUUUAUUUCUGCCUACUCUAAUUACACAUGAGCCAUUAAACCAAUUCCCAAAUAAAAGCAAACAUAAAUAGUACACACUUUAUAGAAGAAAUCACUCUCUUCUAUUACCUAAUAAAUAACUUAUAAGAAAUUUGAUGAGUUGAUGUUGUUUAAUGCAAUGUAUCAUGUAACCUUCUUGGGAACUGGCCUCUGUAAACACAAUGCUAUCAUAGUUCUCAUCAAUUCAAUUACACUGAAUUAAAAGUGCAUUUUGCAUGCACAUACAUAUAUAUGUUUGUAUCUAUUACGUGCACACACUGACUUUAAAAAAAGCAUUGAAAGUAGUAUAUCAGUCAGAAGCUCUAGAAUAUAAAACAUAGGAGAAAGGAAGGAUUAUCUGCAAACACUUGGAUGAAUUUUGUGCACUGAGCUCAACACAAGACACACACCCUUAAUGGAUACUAGCAUAUUAGGAGAAUCUUAUUGGCUAAGGAAAUAGAUUUCUAAAACAAGUCUGCUUUGCAAAUGGUCCCUCCCAAACCAAUUCCUAUGGAUACUUUACCUUCCGGAGGGGUUUGAGCUUGGUCUCCAUUAUGAAGUCAUACUUGCAGAGCUCACAGCAGCGUGUGUCUGAGCUCUUUAUCCACUGGUGGAGGCAGGACUGGUGGACAAAGCGCAGUGUCCCAGUGCAGCGACAGGGUGUGAUGAGGGGGCUCUCUUCAUCCCCUUCGCAGUGACAGAUUCUGCAGAAAGACACAGCAGCCAGUAUGAGAUCUCCCAGAGAACAUUUCUCGCCUGUUAUUUCUGCCCUUGCUUAUACUAGGGCUAUUAUAAACAGCAACUUAAGAUUUAGAACACAUGGACAUUUCACUCCAACUUUGAUGCUAGAACCGAAUCUAUGAUCAAUACAGACUGAGCAUUCCUAACCUGAAAAUCCUAAAUCUGAAAUGCUCUAAAAUCCAAAACUUUUUGAGCACCAACAUAAUGCUGUGAGUAGAAAAUUCCAUUUAGUCAAAACACAGGUGCACAACCGAAAGUUUAUUCACUACCUCGAAAGGAAAAGUAAAAUUAUCUUCAGGCUAUGUGUACAAAGCAUAUGUGAAACAUAAAUGAAUUCUGUGUUUAGACUUGGGUUGAAUCUCCAGGAUAUCUCAUUAUGUAUGUGCAAAUAUUGCCAAAUAAAAAAAAAAUCCCCAGUCCAACACUGGUAGAUUGGGGAUUUUGGGUAGGUUCUAGUCCUACCCAAAAUAUCUCAUUAUAUAUGUGCAAAUAUUCCAAAAUCUUCCCCAAAUUGAAAUUGGAAACACUUCUAGCACCAACCAUUUUGGAAAAAGAAUACUCAACCUAUAUUCAUUGACUUUUACUUUUAUGGUCAUUGCUGGACUCAGAUCAUGUAAUAAGUUGUGCCUUACACACCAGCACAUCAAUAAUGCACUGUCAUUUCAUUCACACAUGGAAGUCAAUUUUAAUAGCACCACUAUCGUGCUAUGUCCCCAAUUUAAUCUAUUUAAUAGGAUACUGUCUAUGGGCUUUCAUAUAUAAAAGUUAUGAGUUUUAAGUAUUCUAAGGAAUAUUGUUUGGUAAACUUUAUUGUGUUACUUUGAUAAUAUCAGACCAUGGCAUAUAAUUUAUUAAAUAUGGUAUCUUACCAAUGUGGAAAAAUUCUCAAAAAUUUUAAAGUAUAAUGAAGGAAUAAAGUUAAUACAAGAAGUCUUAGCUUGAAAAUGUUACAGAUAUGUUCUUAGGAAUAUGCACACCUAUUUGGUUACAACAAAUGGUCUAAACUGUCAAUAAUCAUCAUUGUCUAAAAAAAUCACAAAAAUCACUGGUCACAUAAAAUUUGAGUACAGAAAAUCCUAUUGUUUAAAAAUGCUAAUAAAUACAUCUACCAAUGAAUUGAGUUGAAUUAGUUUCUGAACUACUAUGAAUUCUAGUUUCACAGAUUUGUGGUCUGAAAUCAUUGUAUCUCAUAUUCAAAUUUUAAAAAGUAAUUUAUUUUUCUCUUUGGAUGAGACAAGUCUCCCAUAACUUUAGCUGGUGAAUUCAAAUCUCAGUCCUUUAAUAAUCUGAAUGAUGUAACCAGCAGUUAGACAUUGCUAAUAAAUUUCAUUAGAAAUGUUGCUUUAAAUCUGUUAAACAUAUACACCAAUAUGUUUACUGUAGCACUAUUCACCAUGGCAAAGACAUAGAAUCAAUCCAGAUGCCCAUCAGUGGUGGAUUGCAUAAAGAAAAUGUGGCACAUUUACACCAUGGAAUACUAUGCAGCCAUAAAAAGAAUGAAAUCAUGUCUCUUGCAGCAACAUGGAUACAGCUGGAGGCCCUUAUCCUAAGUGAAUUAACACAGAAGCAGAAAAGCAAAUACUGCAUAUUCUCACUUACAAGUAGGAGUUAAAUAUUGUGUACACAGGGACACAAAGAUGGAAACAAUAAACAUGGGAGAUUGUUAAAGCAGGGGAGGGUGGUGGGAAGUAAAGUUUGAAAAACUACCUAUGAAGUCCUUUGUUCACUACUUAGGUGACAGGAACUUUAGAAGCCCAAACCUUAGCAGCAUGCAGUACACCCAUGUAACAAACCUUCACAGGUAGCCCCUGAAUCUAAAACAAAAUUUUACAAAAUGCAACAUAAAUGUGCAAUGUAACAUUUAAACUUUUUAAAAAAAAUCUACAUAAUUACUUUUUUGGAGCUGGGUCACAAUGGCAGGCUGGAAGAAUGUAUGAAUCACUGCUACUGUUCUUUCCUUUAAAGUGUAUAAGGUGUAUAUAGAUAUAGAUAUAUCAGCUCUCUCCCCAGGGGAAAUGAAAUGGCUGCUCACUCAGAUAGUGCAGAAAGAUACAGGAACUGAAACCCAACACUCUCCGAGACCUCAAAGUAAAACAGUAUGACAGAGUACACCAGGAUUUUGAAUGAAUUUCUUAAGUAAAAACAAAGUGAGCAAAAAGGAACACUGCCAUCUAAAGUUCCGGGGUGGAAGUGCUGGGAUGAGAACACAGAGAAGGUCAAUAUUAAUGUCCCCUUCCCCCUGAACUGACCUAGGAACCCGCCACGUUGGGUGUAGCACCACAUAUGAAAGGUCAAUGUGUUAAGGGAAAAUUAAAAAUUAUCUGAGUGCCUAAUUUUAAUAUAAAAACCUGAAAUAGCUUCUCUCCAAACUUAGGCCUCAGAAACUGGACUUGUUACACUUUGUAUCAUGCUUGUUGCCAGUUUAGUGUCAUAGCAUAGAUGCUCAGUCGAUGUAAAUUGAAUAGAAUUGAAUUCAGUCAACAAACUAUGACUUAUUACAAAAGCAGCCAGCAAAAGUAAAUAGAGGCUUCUCUAACAAGUUGUAAUAUUUAUUUUUGGAGCCACUAAAAUCUAAUGAAUUUUAGACAAUAAGAGUUUGAUAUUAUUUCUUAACUCCUUGGACAUCCAUCUCCUGCCUCCACAGAAAGAAAAUCUCUUCAACCGGGGGUCAGUAAACUAUGACCCAAUUUUGUCCACUGAGUAUUUUUAAUCAAUAAAGUCUUACGGGAACACAGUCUCACCCACUGGUUUAUGUAUUGUUUAGAGCUGUGUUUGCAGAGUAACAGCAGAGUUGAGUACUUGCUGCAGAGACCAUCUGGCUGCAGAAACGAAAACAUUUACUAUCUGGCAAAUGAUUCAAUUCAAUAUUUACAAUCUGACCCUUUCAGAAAAUGUUCGUAGAUCUCUGCCUUAAAGUACACACGUGAUUCUGAGUUAAAGGCAAUGUAUGAAUAUUAUUGACAAUAAUAAUAACAAAUUUUACAAAAUAAAUCACUCUAACCUCUGCAAUUAACAAUAAAACUGAAGCAAAGGUACACAGAGAAACACAAUAAAAA